UACGAAGGGGGCUAGCGUUGUUCGGAAUUAAUGGGAGUAAAGGGUGCGUAGGCGGUAUUGUAAGUAUUGUGUGAAAUCCCUCGGCUCAACUGAGGAACUGCACGGGAUACUGGAAGACUUGAGUUCGGGAGAGGGAAGCGGAAUUCCGGGUGUAGCGGUGAAAUGCGUAGAUAUCUGGAGGAAUACCGGUGGCGAAGGCGGCAUCCUGGACCACAACUGACGCUGAGGCGCGAAAGCUAGGGGAGCAAACGGG
rnacentral:rRNA from 1 species